rnacentral:rRNA from 1 species
CAGCAGCCGCGGUAAUACGAAGGGUGCAAGCGUUAAUCGGAAUUACUGGGCGUAAAGCGUGCGUAGGCGGUGAGUUAAGUCUGCUGUGAAAUCCCCGGGCUCAACCUGGGAAUGGCAGUGGAUACUGGCUCGCUAGAGUGUGUCAGAGGAUGGUGGAAUUCCCGGUGUAGCGGUGAAAUGCGUAGAGAUCGGGAGGAACAUCAGUGGCGAAGGCGGCCAUUUGGGACAACACUGACGCUGAGGCACGAAAGCGUGGGGAGCAAACAGGAUUAGAUACCCGAGUAGUCCCUGUCUCUUAUAC